UACGUAGGGUGCGAGCGUUGUCCGGAAUUACUGGGCGUAAAGAGCUCGUAGGUGGUUUGUCGCGUUGUUCGUGAAAACUCACAGCUUAACCCUGAGCUUGCGGUCGAUACGGGCAUGACUGGAGUUCGGCAGGGGAGACUGGAAUUCCUGGUGUAGCGGUGAAAUGCGCAGAUAUCAGGAGGAACACCGGUGGCGAAGGCGGGUCUCUGGGCCGAUACUGACGCUGAGGAGCGAAAGCGUGGGGAGCGAACAGG
rnacentral:rRNA from 1 species